rnacentral:rRNA from 1 species
UGAAGGGAGCUCGCUCCUGGAUUCAGCGGCGGACGGGUGAGUAAUGCCUAGGAAUCUGCCUGGUAGUGGGGGAUAACGUCCGGAAACGGGCGCUAAUACCGCAUACGUCCUGAGGGAGAAAGUGGGGGAUCUUCGGACCUCACGCUAUCAGAUGAGCCUAGGUCGGAUUAGCUAGUCGGUGGGGUAAAGGCCUACCAAGGCGACGAUCCGUAACUGGUCUGAGAGGAUGAUCAGUCACACUGGAACUGAGACACGGUCCAGACUCCUACGGGAGGCAGCAGUGGGGAAUAUUGGACAAUGGGCGAAAGCCUGAUCCAGCCAUGCCGCGUGUGUGAAGAAGGUCUUCGGAUUGUAAAGCACUUUAAGUUGGGAGGAAGGGCAGUAAGUUAAUACCUUGCUGUUUUGACGUUACCAACAGAAUACGGCACCGGCUAACUUCGUGCCAGCAGCCGCGGUAAUACGAAGGGUGCAAGCGUUAAUCGGAAUUACUGGGCGUAAAGCGCGCGUAGGUGGUUACAGCAAAGUUCGGAUGUGAAUAUGCCCCAGGGCUGCAACUCUUGGGAUUUCUGCUAUCCGAAAACUGUACUGGAGCUGAGGUAGUGACGGUGAGAGGUUUGUUUGGUAUUUCCUGUGUAUCUGGUGUUAUGCGUAGAUAUAGGUAUAGGAACACCAGUGGCGAAGGCAGACCACC